rnacentral:rRNA from 1 species
AGGACGAACGCUGGCGGCGUGCUUAACACAUGCAAGUCGAACGAGGCCGUUCCUUUCGGGGAAUGAGUCGAGUGGCGGACGGGUGCGUAACACGUGAGUGACCUGACCUUGUGUGGGGGACAACCCGGGGAAACCCGGGCUAAUACCGCAUGGGCGCAGUGCCUUUCGGGGGUGCAGCGUGAAAGCCGGCCUAUCCAUGGAAGCUGGCGCGCAGGGAGGGGCUCGGCGGCGUAUCAGCUUGUUGGUGAGGUAACGGCUCACCAAGGCGACGACGCGUAGCGGGUCU